GCCGGAAUAGCUCAGUUGGGAGAGCGUUUGACUGCAGUUGUUUACGCAACAAUCAUGUAAGGCCUCCGGUUCAAUCCCGGUUUCCGGCA
rnacentral:tRNA from 1 species